UACGUAGGUGGCAAGCGUUGUCCGGAUUUACUGGGCGUAAAGGGCGUGCAGGCGGUCUGUUAAGUGCAGGGUGAAAGCUCCCGGCUCAACUGGGAGAGGUCCUUGCAUACUGGCGGACUUGAGGGGGGUAGAGGAAAGUGGAAUUCCCGGUGUAGUGGUGAUAUGCGUAGAUAUCGGGAGGAACACCUGUGGCGAAGGCGGCUUUCUGGGCCCUACCUGACGCUGAGACGCGACAGCGUGGGGAGCAAACAGG
rnacentral:rRNA from 1 species